rnacentral:rRNA from 1 species
CAGUCGCCACGGUAAUACGGAGGGUGCAAGCGUUGUCCGGAUUUAUUGGGUUUAAAGGGUGCGUAGGCGGCUAUUUAAGUCAGCGGUGAAAGACUCCGGCUCAACCGGAGCAGUGCCAUUGAUACUGGAUAGCUUGAGUGUUGGAGGGGUACAUGGAAUUGAUGGUGUAGCGGUGAAAUGCAUAGAUACCAUCAGGAACACCGAUAGCGAAGGCAUUGUACUGGCCAACAACUGACGCUGAGGCACGAAAGCAUGGGGAGCGAACAGGAUUAGAUACCCCGGUAGUCCCUGUCUCUUAUAC